CAACCCUUGACAUGGGACGUAUGGGCUUCAGAGAUGAGGUCCUUCAGUUCGGCUGGCGUCCACACAGGUGCUGCAUGGCUGUCGUCAGCUCGUGUCGUGAGAUGUUGGGUUAAGUCCCGCAACGAGCGCAACCCUCAUCUUCAGUUGCCAUCAUUUAGUUGGGCACUCUGAAGAAACUGCCGGUGACAAGCCGGAGGAAGGCGGGGAUGACGUCAAGUCCUCAUGGCCCUUACGGGUUGGGCUACACACGUGCUACAAUGGCGGUGACAAUGGGGAGCAAAGGCGCGAGCCCGAGCCGAUCUCAAAAAGCCGUCUCAGUUCGGAUUGCACUCUGCAACUCGGGUGCAUGAAGUUGGAAUCGCUAGUAAUCGCGUAUCAGCAUGACGCGGUGAAUACGUUCCC
rnacentral:rRNA from 1 species